rnacentral:tRNA from 1 species
GCCGGAGUGGCGGAAUGGUAGACGCGACGGAUUCAAAAUCCGUUGGGAGCAAUCCCAUGAGGGUUCAAGUCCCUUCUCCGGUACCA